UAGUGAUGAACCCAUCAGAAUUCGCGUGGCUGAGAGGACAGCCUUAGGGCGCGAGAAGUACUAGGUGCUAAUGAACAGAGUGAAGGGGGAAUAAAUAAUUCCAAGCUCUGGCAUUGCAUGCCAAAAGCCAAGUACCUGCAUUGAGAGUUCAGUGUCACUGUUCCUUUUCAUUGCAGGCACCAAGCAAAUGUUUUCCUACAUGCACCCAUUUAAACAUGAUUGGCUUGUCUAUAAUACUGUGCAGAGAUUUAUCUUCUUUACCUAAGGUAGGUCAGAUGAUUUCGAUCCACUUACCACCUGUAAAAGAUUUGGUACUUCUGUGUCUCUAAGGUUAUAUUUUCUUUAAAUAUGCUGUUCGUGUGACAACAUGCUGAAUAUAUGCAGUAACAAAGUUACGCUGACCUAUAUGCAGGGGCCAGAGGGAUCAGAAAAGGAAGGAGCUUUUCAACUGAUAUCCCAGCUGUUGUCAUUGCAAAUGUUGGAGUGGUGCCUCUGCAACUCAGUAGGUGGAACAUCACGCUGGCACUGAAGAAGCAGAGCCCUCCAGGAUGAGUCAUCUGUAUCCAGACUCUGACCACAAAGUGAUGUUCCUGGGUCCCAAAAUGAAGAAUAACAACUGCAGAACUGCCAGAUGUUGAAACGAGUUUGUCCGUGUCCCUGCCAGACUGCACCACAGCUCUUCCAGUUUGAAAACAGCACAGUGGUGGCCACCUGGAAACUUCCAUUUUCCCCUUGGCAGUAUCGCUUAGGCAGUGGCUUGUGGCUGGGAGUCCGUGCUGAGUUUGGAGGCAGAGAUGAACGGUACAGCAGCACUCCUGGGAAAUGCAGAUAGAUGAGCUCCCCAAGAAACCUCAAGAAGAACUUAAACUGUUUGGUCUUCUUCUCCAACAAACCCUGGAGAACCAUAACUUAAACCAAUCUGUGGUGAUGCAGAUGUUAGAGGGCUGUUGUGGUACGGGCUGGGACAUGACUAUCCCGUGACUGGACACACGGCAUGCAAGAAUAGUCCAUACACUCUCUUUCCAAGUGAACUACACUGGAGCUAUUGUUACUGUCCUGCUGAGCAUCUGACUGGACAUAUACAAGCAGCAUUGAUGAGAGUUACUUUUGACUGCUUGGGUAACCAUGUAUAAUUUUACUUGUAUUUUCAACUAACUCUCAUACCAGGACGAAAAUUACUAGAAAGUGCUGAAGAAAAUGACUGAAUGAAUUUCUGUAACCAAUAGUGCACAUCUGACACAAGUUUUCCUCAAUAGAGGAGCUGGAAUGCAUGAGCUAAGUAAGUUAUUUAGAGAUAUAAUCACAAAAAGUGUAAUGCCACAGUCAUGAAAUCAGUACAGAGAGAACUGAGCAGCUUGUCAGAUAAUAGUAUAAUGUGAUAUUUGCAAUGGAUGAAUUUAAAGGCAAAUGUUAGUGGGCUCCUUUAUUUUUCAGUCAAAGCACGACUUACAAACAGCAUAAACCAAAACUAAUUGUAAUUAAUACACUUGUGGGAAACCGAGCGUUUUCUGUAAUAAAGAUAGCCAACAAAAUACCUAGUGCAAUACAACCUGAUGAGCUAAGUGAUAUUUUGAUGUUUUGGUAGAUAGUCAUAGCUUUAUUAAAAAUGAGUAAUAUGCA